AUAAAGAGAGAAGUCAGGUUUUAAGGAAAAGCAGGGUUAUUAAACUUGAGGUUGCUUCUACACAGACUGGAAGCGUCAGUUUAGCACAUGAACUACAAGCUCCCCAGCUUCUGCUCUGCCGUCAGCUCUGCCAUUCUAUGAUUCUAUGAUUCCCACUUUCAAGCUCCAUGUCUAUAACUCCUAUAGACAAUAUAUGAAGGACGCAGUGUAAUUACAUUGUGAGCUCUACAAGGAAAACAGGAGGAACCAUGGGGGAGAUGAAAAUAGCAGAAGACUGACUAGAGGCAGGGAAUGACAAGGAAUGACCAACUAGACAAGGGCUCUUUAUCCUAGGUAAGUGAUGACUAAGGGAACAGUUCGACAAGGACAAAAAAAAAAAAAAAAAAAAAAAAAAAAAGAUCACAGAAUUGAGAAGAUGAAUAAUAAAUGGUUAUACUUUUCCUAUACAACAACUAGGAGUCUUCAAACAAAAUCCUGUCACAGGCUGGGAAAAAAAAGGCCGGGGGAAGAACCUCUUCAUUCCUGAUGCGAGAUGUUGGAAGCGUCUAAAGCUCACAAGUGUUCAGAAAGUAAUUACAUGAAGUCAUGGACUAGAAAUCCACCAGGAGUUAUUACAUACGAAGACGCUACUGGGAAAAAAAGUCAAUAUUGGCUUAGAUGAAUCCUUCAGCUGACCUGGGAUACCUGUUCCUUUCUAGAAGUCCCUCAGUCGUCUGACUUUUCUCUUCACUGCUUUUCCUCUGAACUGCAUACAUAAUAGAUCAGUUAGCAUUUAAAAUUUCAGGGGGUAAAAAGGGCAGUGGGCCUUUCCCUGUCACAAAGCAUUUGGAAGUUUCCUCUCAACUAGUAGGUUUCAGCUGUAAAAAAAGUAGAGUCAGAUGAAAAAUUCAAAGGUUUCAGUGGCUGCUUUACUGUUUCAAUGAAGCAAAUCUGAGCACAGUCCUCGACAACUUUGACCAGAGGCUAGGCAUGGUCACGGUCCCUCUCGGUCCCAUGACUCCUAAUUAGGUCACUGCCAGCUCUGCUUAUUCCUGCCUCAGACUGUGCUCAGCCUCUGUUGGGAUCAUACCUCACUCUGCUAAGCCCUCCAGAAUGAGUGGGUAAAAGUUGCUCUGGGGUACAGAGCUAUAACCUGCAUUAUUCAGCAGCAGGAAGGCCCAAGGGACUUGGCUGAAGAUGCCAGCCGCACUAAUGCUGUCAAGAGUGAAGAGGAAAGAAAAUUAGGCUAACCCUAAUCCUCCCCCAAAAUCACUAGGUAGUAAGGAUAUUGACAAUUAAAGGAGAGGAAGCAGGAG
ensembl:lncRNA